rnacentral:rRNA from 1 species
UACGUAGGGGGCAAGCGUUGUCCGGAUUUAUUGGGCGUAAAGAGCUCGUAGGCGGUGUGUCACGUCGGCCGUGAAAACCUGCAGCUUAACUGUGGGCGUGCGGUCGAUACGGGCAUCACUGGAGUUCGGCAGGGGAGACUGGAAUUCCUGGUGUAGCGGUGAAAUGCGCAGAUAUCAGGAGGAACACCGAUGGCGAAGGCAGGUCUCUGGGCCACUACUGACGCUGAGAAGCGAAAGCAUGGGGAGCGAACAGG